UACGUAGGGUGCAAGCGUUGUCCGGAAUUAUUGGGCGUAAAGAGCUCGUAGGCGGUCUGUUGCGUCGGCUGUGAAAACCCGAGGCUCAACCUCGGGCCUGCAGCCGAUACGGGCAGACUAGAGUUCGGCAGGGGAGACUGGAAUUCCUGGUGUAGCGGUGAAAUGCGCAGAUAUCAGGAGGAACACCGGUGGGCGAAGGCGGGUUCUC
rnacentral:rRNA from 1 species